ACGAACGCUGGCGGCAUGCCUCACACAUGCAAGUCGAACGAAGCCUUCGGGCUUAGUGGCGCACGGGUGCGUAACGCGUGGGAAUCUGCCCCUUGCUUCGGAAUAACAGUUAGAAAUGACUGCUAAUACCGGAUGAAGUCUUCGGACCAAAGAUCUAUCGGCAAGGGAUGAGCCCGCGUAGGAUUAGGUAGUUGGUGGGGUAAAGGCCUACCAAGCCGACGAUCCUUAGCUGGUCUGAGAGGAUGAUCAGCCACACUGGGACUGAGACACGGCCCAGACUCCUACGGGAGGCAGCAGUGGGGAAUAUUGGACAAUGGACGCAAGUCUGAUCCAGCAAUGCCGCGUGAGUGAUGAAGGCCUUAGGGUUGUAAAGCUCUUUUACCAGGGAUGAUAAUGACAGUACCUGGAGAAUAAGCUCCGGCUAACUCCGUG
rnacentral:rRNA from 1 species